rnacentral:rRNA from 1 species
GAUGAACGCUAGCUACAGGCUUAACACAUGCAAGUCGAGGGGCAGCAUGUUGGUUGCUUGCAACCAACGAUGGCGACCGGCGCACGGGUGAGUAACGCGUAUCCAACCUGCCCUUGUCCAUCGGAUAACCCGUCGAAAGGCGGACUAACACGAUAUGCAGUUCUCAGCAGGCAUCUAACGAGAACGAAAUGUAAAGGAGAAGGAUGGGGAUGCGUCUGAUUAGCUUGUUGGCGGGGUAACGGCCCACCAAGGCGACGAUCAGUAGGGGUUCUGAGAGGAAGGUCCCCCACAUUGGAACUGAGACACGGUCCAAACUCCUACGGGAGGCAGCAGUGAGGAAUAUUGGUCAAUGGGCGAGAGCCUGAACCAGCCAAGUAGCGUGCAGGAUGACGGCCCUAUGGGUUGUAAACUGCUUUUAUACGGGGAUAAAGUGAGCCACGUGUGGCUUAUUGCAGGUACCGUAUGAAUAAGGACCGGCUAAUUCCGUGCCAGCCGCCGCAGUAAAAC